AUUGUUGAAUUUUGCAGAUGAACUAUAAUACGUGUCAUGAGCUGCCCGCACAGGCAGGAAUCAAACAACUCCAUCUCUGGAGUCCAGGAUUCCAUUUGAAACAAGGCUUUUUAUGGUCUGUCAUAUUGGCUGUGGCACGUGGCAAGAAGUUUAUCAUCUGUGCAAAAUGGGACACCCAAGAUUCCUUAUUCUUGGACCCGUUGCUUUGUUGAUGGCUGUUCUAUGGUGCCUCAGGCAUGCUUUUGUAUCAUUGCCGCCAUCAGCUUUCUUUACCUCAACAACUAAUGCUGAUAGGUGACGGUCAAGUCCUCGUAAUUUGAAGCAUUGUUGUGGAAGGCAAAGGGAAUCAAGUUGAUCUUGCGGCAGAUGAAGCCAGACGGAGUAUACACCCUUAAGGGUUUUAUUCAAAAAAAGAAAAGAAAAAAGGAUUGCACAUAGUGUUUGGCAUCACACUCAAGUAAGGAGAUCUCUUACUUACGAAGACUCUCGUGGUCCUGACUCCUGAGUUCAAAGAAAAACCAUGGUAUUGCUUGUUUAUGCUGCUAAGAAUCCAUGGUUUUUGGUAUUGCUUGUUUAUGCUGCUAAGAAUCCAAAGAAAAACCAUGGUAUUGCUUGUUUAUGCUGCUAAGAAUGCAUAACACUCGAGUAAGGAGAUCUCUUACUUACGAAGAUUGUCGUGGUCCUGAGUCCAAAGAAAAACCAUGGUAUUGCUUGUUUAUGCUGCUAAGAAUAUAGCCGGGACCACCUUGUCAUCACAAGGUCGUGCAUAACACUGGAUUUUGUCUAUUUACACUUUUACAGUGUAGUUGCUUGCCAAACCAAAAUUUGUACAAUUACUGUGGAUUGUUGAGCUACAUUAUAAAGUUCUGGCAUCCCUGCUUGUGCAUAUGUGGACCGAGUAUUUCUGUAUGGUUGUUGCCCCAUUUAUCCAUUUAUAAUCUUGGACAAUGUACGUCUUUUCUUC